rnacentral:misc_RNA from 1 species
AACCUAGCACACCUGCGGUGUGUACCUGCGGAGGGAUCAUUACCUAUUUGGCCUUUGUGGCUACGCUCGGGGGGCCUUUGGUCCCCGUCUGCACCCUUGUCUUUGCGCACUCAUGUUUCCUCGGUGGGCUUGCCUGCCGCUAGGACAACCUAAACUCUUGAAUUUUCAAUCAGCGUCUGAUAACAAUAAUAUUUACAACUUUUAACAAUGGAUCU